rnacentral:rRNA from 1 species
UACUCCUACGGGAGGCAGCAGUGGGGAAUAUUGCGCAAUGGGGGGAACCCUGACGCAGCCAUGCCGCGUGAAUGAAGAAGGCCUUCGGGUUGUAAAGUUCUUUCGGUAUUGAGGAAGGUUGAUGUGUUAAUAGCACAUCAAAUUGACGUUAAAUACAGAAGAAGCACCGGCUAACUCCGUGCCAGCAGCCGCGGUAAUACGGAGGGUGCGAGCGUUAAUCGGAAUAACUGGGCGUAAAGGGCACGCAGGCGGUUAUUUAAGUGAGGUGUGAAAGCCCCGGGCUUAACCUGGGAAUUGCAUUUCAGACUGGGUAACUAGAGUACUUUAGGGAGGGGUAGAAUUCCACGUGUAGCGGUGAAAUGCGUAGAGAUGUGGAGGAAUACCGAAGGCGAAGGCAGCCCCUUGGGAAUGUACUGACGCUCAUGUGCGAAAGCGUGGGGAGCAAACAGGAUUAGAUACCCUGGUAGUCCACGCUGUAAACGCUGUCGAUUUGGGGGUUGGGGUUUAACUCUGGCGCCCGUAGCUAACGUGAUAAAUCGACCGCCUGGGGAGUACGGCCGCAAGGUUAAAACUCAAAUGAAUUGACGGA